rnacentral:rRNA from 1 species
CCAAUAGCGUAUAUUAAAGUUGCUGCAGUUAAAAAGCUCGUAGUUGAAUUUCGGGACUAAUAUGUCGGUCGUGCCUCGGUACGUACUGGUUUAUUGGUUUCUCCUUUCUGAAGAACCAUGAUGUCAUUUAUUUGGUGUCGUGGGGAAUCAGGACUGUUACUUUGAAAAAAUUAGAGUGUUUAAAGCAGGCUCACGCUUGAAUACAUUAGCAUGGAAUAAUGAAAUAGGCCGUUUGAUUCUAUUUUGUUGGUUUCUAGGAUCGACGUAAUGAUUAAUAGGGAUAGUUGGGGGCAUUAGUAUUCAAUUGUCAGAGGUGAAAUUCUUGGAUUUAUUGAAGACUAACUACUGCGAAAGCAUUUGCCAAGGAUGAUUUCAUUAAUCAAGAACGAAAGUUAGGGGAUCGAAGACGAUCAGAUACCGUCGUAGUCUUAACCAUAAACUAUGCCGACUAGGGAUCGGAUGAUGUUAACUUUUUAAUGACUCAUUCGGCGCCUUACG